rnacentral:tRNA from 1 species
GGCAGCGUAGCUCAGUUGGUUAGAGCGCAGGACUCAUAAGCCUGAGGUCACUGGUUCAAUUCCAGUCGCUGCUACCA